rnacentral:misc_RNA from 1 species
UCUCCGUUGGUGAACCAGCGGAGGGAUCAUUACCGAGUUUAGAACUCCCAAACCACACGUGAACUAUACCUGUCUACCGUAGCUUCGGCGGGUUCGCCCGCCGAGGGACCGACAAAUAAACUCUUGUAUUUCUAUCUUUAGCAUGUCUGAGUGGAAUCAUAAACAAAUGAAUCAAAACUUUCAACAACGGAUCUCUUGGUUCUG